rnacentral:rRNA from 1 species
GACGCACGCUGGCGGCGUGCCUAAUACAUGCAAGUAGAACGCACAGUUUAUACCGUAGCUUGCUACACCAUAGACUGUGAGUUGCGAACGGGUGAGUAACGCGUAGGUAACCUGCCUGGUAGCGGGGGAUAACUAUUGGAAACGAUAGCUAAUACCGCAUAAUAUUGAUUAUUGCAUGAUAAUUGAUUGAAAGAUGCUAUUGCAUCACUACCAGAUGGACCUGCGUUGUAUUAGCUAGUAGGCGAGGUAACGGCGCACCUAGGCGACGAUACAUAGCCGACCUGAGAGGGUGAGCGGCCACACUGGGACUGAGACACGGCCCAGACUCCUACGGGAGGCAGCAGGAGGGAAUCUUCGGCAAUGGACGGAAGUCUGACCGAGCAACGCCGCGGGAGUGAAGAAGGUUUUCGGAUCGUAAAGCUCUGUUGUAAGGGAAGAACGGGUGUGAGAGUGGAAAGUUCACACUGUGACGGUAUCUUACCAGAAAGGGACGGCUAACUACGUG